rnacentral:lncRNA from 1 species
GCUAUCAUGGUAUCAGAGCCAUAAAUCCUAACCUGCCUGCGCCGCCGCCGAUUCUGAUUCCGACAGAACCCAGCCAUCUCCGAUUCCGAUUCAGACAUCAUCUUCUCCGAUUCCGAAUCCAGACAGAGCCUAGACUCCGACGAGGCUUCGACGAGGUUCAUCGUCCCUUGCCGGACUCCGACGAGCCACGUUCUGACCCUCGCCUGGCUCGACGAGGCUCAUCAGCCCUUGCCCGACUCUGACAAAGCCUCGACGAGGCUCAUCGGCGUUUGUCCGACGAACAACAAACCCGGUCCUCUCUCUCUCCUUAUAAGCAGAACAAGCCUCUAGUUCUCUUGCUCUCAGUCGUUGCCUCAGAGCCAUAGACCCUAACCUACGUUCGCCGCCGCACAUCCUCCGCGAGGGCUUCAACUUCGAAGAGCCUCAUCAGUCCCCGUCCAGAUCUGGACUUGUGAAUACCUUGUCCAGUCCCGACAACACUCGCUUGACUCCGACGAAGUCUCCGACUCCGUGCUCUGUCACUAAACCUGCGAACAUCUGAUCUCUCACGUCGUCGUCGACCAUCGAAGGAUCUCUCUGGGCAUACGAUCUCCCUGCUCUCUCUCAUAGUUAUGUUAUAAAAAGGUUAUUUAAAAAAAAAAGAAAAGGUUAGUGGUAUCAGAUGAUUCAGAGCACUACCUUUUUUUUAUGCUGAAGUCUAUUUGUUGAAUUCUGUUUGAUGAAAUCUACUUGAUUGUUGCGCUGGUGGCUGAUAUAAAAAGAUUAGCUGAUCUGGUGUUGCUGACUUUGUGCUUAUGAUUUCUAUUUAUGAUGUGAUUCUGCUUGUGAGUCUGGGCACUCAUCUGGUGUUAUUGAUCCGGUACUGAUUUUGUGAUUUCUGCUUGGUCUCGACUGGUCUCGAUUUAUUCUAGUAUUUGAUUCGAGCGUGGAUUUACUAUUACUCUGAGAACUGUUCUGGUAUUUGCUUCUAAAAGCACUGUUUACUAUCAUGGCACUGUUGCCUCCAUUUUUGUCGAGUUUAAGCAAUUUCAGCAUUAUCGAGCUUUCCUGGCAACCAUUCAAGGAGAUUCUACCCAAACUUCUGCCAUG